rnacentral:rRNA from 1 species
UACAGAGGGGGCGAGCGUUGUUCGGAAUUACUGGGCGUAAAGGGCGCGUAGGCGGCCUGCUAAGUCAUACGUGAAAAUCCCUCGGCUCAACCGGGGAACUGCCUUUGAUACUGGCGAUCUUGAGUCCGGGAGAGGUGAGUGGAACUGCGAGUGUAGAGGUGAAAUUCGUAGAUAUUCGCAAGAACACCAGUGGCGAAGGCGGCUCACUGGCCCGGUACUGACGCUGAGGUGCGAAAGCGUGGGGAGCAAACAGG